rnacentral:rRNA from 1 species
GAUGAACGCUGGCGGCGUGCUUAACACAUGCAAGUCGAACGAAGCACUCUAUUUGAUUUUCUUCGGAAAUGAAGAUUUUGUGACUGAGUGGCGGACGGGUGAGUAACGCGUGGGUAACCUGCCUCAUACAGGGGGAUAACAGUUGGAAACGACUGCUAAUACCGCAUAAGCGCACAGGAUUGCAUGAUCCGGUGUGAAAAACUCCGGUGGUAUGAGAUGGACCCGCGUCUGAUUAGCCAGUUGGCAGGGUAACGGCCUACCAAAGCGACGAUCAGUAGCCGACCUGAGAGGGUGACCGGCCACAUUGGGACUGAGACACGGCCCAAGCUCCUACGGGAGGCAGCAGUGGGGAAUAUUGCACAAUGGGGGAAACCCUGAUGCAGCGACGCCGCGUGAGCGAAGAAGUAUUUCGGUAUGUAAAGCUCUAUCAGCAGGGAAGAAGAAUGACGGU